rnacentral:rRNA from 1 species
UACGUAGGGUGCGAGCGUUAAUCGGAAUUACUGGGCGUAAAGCGUGCGCAGGCGGUUCGCUAAGACCGAUGUGAAAUCCCCGGGCUUAACCUGGGAACUGCAUUGGUGACUGGCGGGCUAGAGUAUGGCAGAGGGGGGUAGAAUUCCACGUGUAGCAGUGAAAUGCGUAGAGAUGUGGAGGAAUACCGAUGGCGAAGGCAGCCCCCUGGGCCAAUACUGACGCUCAUGGACGAAAGCGUGGGGAGCAAACAGG